rnacentral:rRNA from 1 species
CUGUUUACCAAAGACAUAGCCCUUUAAAAAUAAAAGGUGUCACCUGCCCAUUGACUUAUCAUUCAAGAAAUAAAAAUACUUAAAAGUAAGUUGAAAGGACGCGGUAUCUUGACCGUGAUAAUGUAGCAUAAUCAUUCGCCAUUUAAUUGAUGGAUAGUAUGAAUGGUAUAACGAAUAUAACACUGUCUCAAAUAAAAUUYUUAUGAAAUUAGAAUAAUAGUAAAGAUACUAUUUCAAACUGUAAGACGAGAAGACCCUAUAGAGCUUAACUAUAACUCUCUUUAGAUAAAUAAACUGGUUUAUUAAAAAGAGAGAUAGGUAGUUUAGUUGGGGCGACUACUUUCUAAAAUAAACGAAAGCAAACAAUAAUUAAUUAUGUAAUUUACUGUAUAAAUAAUGGAUUUAACAGUUAUAAAAAUAGGUAAUAAUGACCCGUUAUUAAUACAUAACAAUAAUAACGAUCAAUGAAUAAAAGCUACCUUAGGGAUAACAGGAUAAUUUUGUUCUAGAGAUCAUAUCGAAAACAAAGUUUGUCACCUCUAUGUUGAAUUAAGACAUCCUAGAAGUGCAGAAGCUUCUAAGGGUAGGUCUGUUCGACCUAUAAAGUCUUACAUGAUUUGAGUUCAUUCCGUCGCAAGACAGGAAGGUUUCUAUC